ensembl:lncRNA
CUGCCUGCAGCCUCUGCCUCCUCCUCGCCUCCCGCCAGCAGAGCACUAAUUAAGCAACAGGCAGGAGAGAUGCUCGUCUGCCUCCCGCCCUUUAUUAAUUGCUGGUUCGCUUUCGGCGCCGUGCAGCUUUGCUUCACCUCUGCUCGCUUUUUGGCCGCUCCCUCACAGCAGGGAUUUGCUGCUGCUGCUCACACCCAUUGGCUUUCAUCACCAAAAAGGCCCAAAUACCCCCUAUGGGCAUUUCCCUCGUGGCGGAGAAACAGGCGGUGCCACCCGACGCGACGCAAGCCCCAAACCAGGGGGCUUUUGACGGCCUUUUGGCACUCUCCAACCCACCUAUUUCAGGAGGGACACCAUUGCAAGCUCAGCUCUUCGGGCUUUAAGCCCAACUGGCGGCACUCAGCUCCUUUCAACACCGCACCUCUACUUUGCAGCGCCGCCGGAGCUCUGCAGCGCCCGCACGGCCGUCGGCCCUCUCUGCAAACGAAGGCUGCGCCGGGCCGCGGGACGCCGUGCGUUUAAAUCCGAGCGCACCUUUCCCUUCUCCUCCCAUCCCUGCCGUCUCUCAGCACCUCUCCCUGCCCGUCCUCCCCCCGCAGCCGGGAAGCGCGGCGCUGCGUCCCGUAAGCCGGGGAUGUGCGGGGAGUCGCUCCCUCGGAGGGCGAUGCUCUUCCCGACCCGGUUCGGCUCAGCAACCUGCGGGAAGGAGAGAUGGAUUCUGCCCCGACCGCCGAGGGAGAGGCAGUAAAUCACUUCCCAUUGACCGAGGAGUGCUUUCGUUCCGAGCAGAGUGCACUUUGCAUGCAUUUUGCAUGCGCUUCCAGCGCACUUUAAAUUAAUGCACUCUCGACUCAAAGCCUCUGCUAAUUCACAUUUCCCUGCACGAGCGUUCCCCUGUAGAUGUGGUUCCCGACCCAAAGCCCUUUGCAGAUGGGCGGGGAGCCUCCACGUUGUCUUCCACCCUCAACCCGGGGCUAAAUUAACCGAGCUAAUCGCCCUUACGGCCACGCGUGGGGUGCGGGGGGACGCAGCGAAACACAUCCUGCCACGCUGCUUCCAUCCCGAUGCUCGCCCUAUAAGCGCCCUGCCUGCGGGCUGUGGGGCAGCUCUGGGCUCUGCCCUCCGCCUCCCAGAGGGAAAUAAUUCAUCUCGCUGCCCUCCUGCUGACUCUCUCCUGCAUUGAUCCGCUGCCAAUUGGCUGCUCUGCGAGAGGAGCGAGGGUGGAGGCUGCAGGAUUCACUGCCGAUGUUGUAAGGACAAAGUCAAGGGGACCGCGCUCUUCUCAGAAACGCAUCCAGGCUGAUUUUGGGAAGAGGGGACGUUUGGGGUCCGGCUGCUGCGUGAUCCCACGUGGCGAUGCUCUUGGUGUGGGAUGCAUUGGGCCCUCCUCUCGACCCCCCUUUACACGAGCAGCAUUGCGAAGGCUGGGAGGUGAUGAUGGUCCUGUCCUCAUUUUGAACCAGAGGGGUGAGACGUAAUGGCACUCAUUAGCUGUGUGCACUUUCCAUCUGCACAGCGUUGGUCAUUCAGGAGACGUGCCUAAAUAAGGAGCUCCGUGCCCCAAAUUCUCUGCACUCAAUGAAGAGAGAAAUCAGCACCUUCGGGUCUACGCUGUGGUGCUAAUUGCAAACCCCCCAUGAAUCCCCCACUGAGGAGAGAGGAACCUUCAGAGCAGUGCCCCAAAUGUGUCUCCUCUCUUGGAAUGGAUCAUUGGACUCAACCCAAGGGUGGUUUGUUGGCAGAGCUGGAGGGCUGCUGCCCUGUGACGGUGGAAUGGAGCAGUUUGACUCAACCCAAUUGGUUGGCAAAGCCAGAAGGGACGUCGUCCUUCUAUACUGGAAUGGAAAGUGGGACUCAACCCAAUGCUGAUUGGCUGGCAAGACCAGAUGGGUUCUGCCCUUUGAUACUGGAGUGGAAAGUGGGACUCAACCCAAUGCCGGCUGGUUGGCAAGGUCAGAUGGAUGCUGCCCUUCGACAACGCAAUGGAACAGUUUGACUCAACCCGAUGCGUAUUGGUUGGCAAGAUCGGAUGGAUGCUGCCUUCAAUACUGGAAUGGAACACGGGACUCAACCCAACACUGGUCUGCUAGAAAAAAUGAACAGACGCUGCCCUUUGGGAAAGCAGUUGAAGCUCAUCUGUAGCACUCCCUGGGAAAUGAGGGAGCUCGUGGUGCUGGCGCAGGUCAUGGGGUGGAUGGCUCUGGUUGCUGCCGUACCAUAAAUCCUGGCCAGGCGAGCCUGGCGGCACCGAGAGGUACCCACAAAGGGACAUCCAUCACGUUAACCCAAAUCAACCUUUAAAAUGGAUUAGCCAGAGCACAUAAAACCCCAUUCUGGACACUUAGCCAGAAUUAGAGUUGGUUUAAUUCACUUGAGCUUAAUUCGCAAAGCUAAACCGAAUUAAGGCUGGCUGCGUUCGGAACGAGCAGCUCCACGCGUGGAGUUUAAUGUGAUUUACAUCGCCUGCUCUCCAUCCACACCUCUGGGUGAUCUAUGUGCCACCGGGGAGCAGAGCUGGCAGGGAAUGCAGGGAACGUUGCCACGCCGCUGCCAGGACCGAACAUCGCUGCAGGGUCACCGAGCCCUGGAGCAGCACGGAGGGAGGAGACGCUUCCAGUUCUCUUCUUGCAGCAGUGGGAGGGAUGGAAGGGACCCUCCAACCCCCCGAUGAAAUUAUAUCUACAUCGGCUGGAAUUCGGCUCUCGUUGACCCCAUCAAACCAGGGAAAUGCCUCCAUUGGGGCUCUGAGGAGAGCAUCCGUAACCCUGAUGGACCACUGCGAGUGGAAAACCAGCGACCACCAACCCCACCUCUCCCUGUUUGUCAGUGAUGGAGGCGAUGGGCUCCGCUUCCCAUCAGCACACUUCGUCUUAUGGCACGUUUGGCUUCCAUCCAUUUCCACCUGGGACGAAAGGAGGGGAAAAUGUGGGGGUGUGGAGAUGGGGAAGGGGCUGGCACCGCUCCCUGUGCCCCCACCUCUUCCAAAUAGGGCCGAAAUGUCUCCAACUCCUUCACGUCUCCGAAAUGUCUCCUUUCCAUUAGUGGAUGGGCACCUAUUGAAGGAUCUCAGCUGAGGGAAUUCAAAUGGUUCUAACGCAAACCGCCCUCACGGUAACCAUUAUGGUCCCUUAAAAACAUUUCAUUACGAAGGCAAGCGUAUGUUUUAGCAAUGCUCAGAUGACUCCUCAGUGUCAGGUUUAUCCCAGGCCGGGCGCUUCUCAGAAUGAAUGAGUUGAUGAGAUCCAAGUUCUCCCUUUGUUUAAUGGACUUUAAGUUGUUUAAAUCAUUGGCUUCACUUAAACCCCGCACUUAAAGCAGGGCUGUCUAUUUCUCUCCAUUAAAAGUUCAUCCAUCAUGGAAUGAGUCUUUCCGGAAAGCCCCAAUGGUGAACCAAAAGGUCCCACACCAUGUCACAGCUCUGGGUUGGGUGUUUUCACACGGCGUGAGCCAUUUCCUGGCAGAAGGGGCCCAAAAUCACCACCCCAGGUAGUGGGGUUGGUGCUGCACCACGUGGUGACACCACUGGGCUUUGUAUGGGUUGAAAUGUUGGAUAACAGAGUUGGACCGGAGUGCCCACGCAACCCAACCGAUGUGAGGACGCAUGGAUGCUUCACCAUCCACAGCCACUGCUAAACCCAAGGGCUUUCUUCUAAAACAUGCCCCCAGCCAUGAAACCCAAGGGCUUUCCUCUCAAAUACAUCCCCAGCCAUGAAACCCAAGGGCUUUCCUCUCAGAUAUACCCCCCAGCCAUGAAACCCCCGCCAUUUCCUCACACAUACAUCCCUUGGCUCGGCCUUGGGAAGCCAUGCAGCGCAACCCCAUCGAUUACCAUCAUCCUUCCCAUUCCCUUUUACACCCACGAAGCUCAGAGGUGCCCCCACCACCCCCAGAGCCCGCAGCAGUCAUCCAUUGCCAACUGACUUUGUGUUCUCCUUGCGACGUCGGCGCGCGCGCGCGGCGCAGAUGUAAAUACAUCCCGGCUGUCCUGCUUUGAUUCAUGCUUUGGUAUCGGAUCGCGUGCGCCUCCCUGGACGCCAUAAAUCUCCUCGGGGUAACUCCACCUGAAUUGCUCUUUGUGUGCGUUGCAGGUCGGGAUGAGGAACUGCUCUGCAGGGGAGCCUCUCGCCAGCGCCGUGUUUCCAUUCGCCUGCGCGGAUCGACGUCUGCGGUGGGAGGGAAUUGGGGUAGGGGCAGCCCGGCGUCUCCGGUGUGGAGCUCGGAGGGAGACAGAAAAGUGCUUUUUGGGGACCUGAUGGGUUACAAAUCACAAAUCUUUUGUCCCCACCCCCGUGGGGAGCAGGAAUGGGGUCAGGGCAGCCCGUGGUUGAAUGUCUCCUUGCGUUUGCCAUCGCCCUGCAGCACCCGGAGUCAUUUGGCUGAGUAGAAGACGAGGUCCCCCUGAAGUGGAUGCUUGGGGUCCCACAAAGCCAACAAAACUCAACCAGCCCAGAGCCAUCUCACCACGCUGCGACCAUCUCAGAGCCAAAAGUGGCCCUCAGGGCUCACACGAUGCCAUGGGAGCACCUCAAGGGUGUGCUGGGACAUCCUCAUGUGGACGUGGAACCUGGCCUUGGCCAACAGGGGUUUCUCAAGGCUCACAUGGCUCAAUGGGAAUGCCUCUAAGAUGUUUUGGGACAUCCUCAUGUGGACGUGGAACCUGGCUUUGGCCCACAGUGGUCCUCCAGGCUCUCCCAGUGCCAUAAGAACAUCUGUAGGGUGCAGUGGGAGAUCCUCCUACGGACAUGGAAGCUGGGCUUGGCCAACAGUGGUCCUCCAGGCUCAUGUGAUGCCAUGGGAACACCUCUGGGGUGUAAUGGGGAAUCUUCAUGUGGACAUGGAACCCAGUCUUGGCCAACAGAGGUCCUCCAGGCUUGCACCAUGGGAGCACCUCUGGGAUAUACUGGGACAUCCUCGUGUGGGGAUGGGGACACUCAGUCACAGCAACCGGUGCCGACGUCCCCAACCUGGAACACAGAGAGAAGAGGCCACAUCCUGCCCGAGGCCACCACCUUCCCCAUCCACCCACUCCUUCAGCUCCAGAAAUACCCUGACAUGGGACACUCUGUAUCUCAGAGCUCUCCCCCCAACCAUCCACAGCGCCACGGAGCAAAGCCUGGGUGAGAAACACGUCCGGAUGGGGCUGAGCUCACAGUUCAGGGCGCCUUCCAGCCAAAGGAAGGGAUUCUUUUAUGGAAUCCUGGAGGAAAAAAAGGGACUGCAGCACCCAUGGGCUGCCAGGAAGAGUGAGAUUCGUACUGCACAAAAGAUAGGAGAGGAUCACAGAGCACAAAGCCCUCAACGUCUUCCAUUAUAUCCACGAGAAUUAAAAGACAUGGAGCGAGCAUUGAGAACCCGCCGGCUUAAUAACAGAAGUAAAAAGUUGUUAAUCAGGCACGUGACCCUAUAAAAUAAAGGGAAUAAUUGAAAAGAUAUCUAAUUUAUCUAUUGAAUGCCUCCAACGCUCUCUUUAUCACCGAGAUGGACAGAAUAUAAUUGGUGCGGUGAAAGCCAUCAAUCUUAGGAAGUGGGCUUUCUGUACAAGAUACAACUAUUACUGUCAUAUUAUGACACCAUAAUAUCAAGAUCAAUGACAUUUUAAACGCACUCCAGUUAUGGGCAAUUGGUGACAAUAAAAACAGUGACAAAUUGAUGAAACAAGAGCCAAAUGAUCCGGCGUCUAAAAUAAACCAUAAAUAAUCUUCUUAAAAUAUAUAGAGAGAUAUAUCCACCGAACUCGCUGUGGUUGGGGGGCGGUGAUUCCUUCCACCCGAGGUCUCCAAUGGGCCACCGUUCUCAGGAAGGGGAAGCUUCCCCUUUUGAUUUAAGGGUCAUUCCCAUGCGGUUUAAUGAUGUUAUCGUUAGCAUAAUUGUUGCCAUAAAAAGGAAGGUUACGGUUUCGAAGGGCUGAGGAGCCAACGCGACGGCACAGUAAACAGCGGCACCGUUUCUAGAUCUUAUGGCACCAGGAUGGUGAUAUUCCCUCAGGGCCUCCGUGGGCCUUAAAUAAAGAUAAUAACAACCACAGCAAUUGUGUCCGGAGCUCUGCAGAGCGCUCUGAUUGCAGUUAUGGGGACAGCAUUUGGGUUUUUUUAUAUAGAAGGGGGGGAUGGGGGUCAGGGAGGCUGAAAUCCGACAGAUCCAUUCUUCUUCUGAAACCCAAUGAGGUUGGAAAAGACCUCCAAGACCAACAUUACAACCCCAACCCAUUCCCACCAUGAUCACUCAUCGAAUCAUGGAGUCAUUAAGGUUGGAAAUGACCUCUGAGACCAUUGAGUCCAAACCCAACCCAUUCCCACCAUGCUCACUCGUCAAAUCAAGGAGCCAUUAAGGUUGGAAAAAGACCUCCAAGACCAACAGUCCAACCCCAACCCGUUCCCACCAUGCUCACUCAUAGAAUCAUGGAGUCUUAAGCUUGGAAAAGAGCUCCAACACCAACAACCCAACCCCAACCCCCCACUGUGCCCACUAAAACAAGGCUUGGCGUCUCACUGCACCCAAUGGAGGCCGUGCAUUGUGGACAUGGCUCUGCCCAACGGCCACCGUUCUCCAGUGGCUGAGCAUUGAGCCAUUUAAGCUCUGAAAAUAAUAAUGAAAAUAAUAAUGAUUUGUUUAAAAAGGGGGAGAAAACAGGGAAAAUCUCUCCAGUUUAUGAGUAAACAUCCCCCCAAAAAAGGAAAGCAAAUGGAGGGGAUGUCCUCAGUGCUGCUGGGGUGGGUGCAGAGGAGUGGAGCUGCCUGGUUCUGCCUCCGACUCGCUCCUUCUCCUCUAUAUUUGAUAAUCACCCCAAAACUGACACCACAAUGCGGUGCAAAAUGGCUCAGAAAUGGAAACAACCCCAACCCCGGCCCAGCUCCACGCUCCGCUCGGAUUCUUUUGGGAUGAAUCCAUGCCAGAACCAUCGUGGCUCUCAGCAGCUCAUUCCCCCGCGGCUCCACGUGUCGUUGCCAACGACAUGUGGUCCUCAGCCUCAUUCUGGGGUGAAUGGCCCCAAAAGCGUCUGCAGGGACUCAGCACGGAGCCUCGGGGUGGGGGGUGAUGGAAAAUCCCACCUCAGGAUCCUCCGCUCUGAGCCAGGGGGGGAUUUGAGGGCUGGGUGGGCGCUGGGGGAAGCGUUGGGGUCUCCGCAGGAAGAUGUGAGGUGGGGGAAGGCUGUGGUUUGUGUGCAGGGAGGAACCUGAGGGGAAACUGAGGCACAGCUGUGAUCCGAAGGGGAAACUGAGGCAGGGAAGCGGAUAGGGAGGAUGAAGAGGGGACCCCACUCCGCUGCCUCAGCUCCAUUGGAAGCCGCCCCCUGAGCCCCCCUGGCCUUCACAGCACACCUCGGUGACCACCCCUAAGGAGCAGCCGAAGCUCCAGCAGAAUUAAACACCGGGAGAUGGAGCAGCAAAGCAUCACUCAGCCCACGCUGAUAGCGAGCGGCUCUAAUGCUGAAAUAUGGGCCGUUUAGGGGAAGCCAACCCAUCUCCCUGCAAAGAAAAAAUAAUAUCAUACCAACACAACAACUUGCAGCUUGAUAAAAGAUACGCCGGGUAAAUACAUUAAUGGGAGGUAAUUGAAAACUGGUGGGUAAUCUUUAAGCAAUCACGGAGCUCAGCCGUCGGGGCGGCGGCGGAUGCACGGAUGGCACCGUUUUCCACAUCACAGCCUGGGUGUUUUAUGGGGUUGGGUCUCCGAGUGGAACAGCGGUGUCAUAUUUAGCUUUCUAAUUAUAUUUCGAGAUGCUCCAGCAGCUCUCCCCGCCGCGCAGCACGUGGGGCUGAACAAAGGGGAAUUGCAGCCAUAAAAGAGAGAGAGGACGAGGUAUCAGCGGAUGGAAGAGAUAAAGAUGUUCCCUCUCCUCUUCCUGAGCUGGCUGAUAUUAAUAGGACAGGAGGCUCUCAGCUCCUGGGCACGGAGGAGAAGGCUGCAGGGUGGUUCUUUAAUGCUGCUUUGCAAUUUGCUUUCAUUCUCCGGCCCCGAAGCGGCGAUCCGUGCAGCUCCAGCGUUGCUCUCCUUGCUCAGCACCACGCGCAUCCCCAAUCCCAUCCUUGGGUGUGAGGCUGUGGGCACUGAGCUCUCAUUGCAUGGGGGUGUGGGGACCCCACGGUGCUGAGCUCCUUUUGCAUUGGGACCCCACAGUGCUGCGCUCCCAUUUGCAUGGGGGUGUGGGGACCCCACGGUGCUGUGCUCCCAUUGCAUUGGGACCCCACAGUGCUGUGCUCCCAUUGCAUUGGGACCCCAUGGUGAUGAGUUCCUUUUGCAUUGGGACCCCACGGUGCUGUGCUCCCAUUGCAUGUGUAUGUGGGGGACCCCAUAGUGCUGUGCUCCCAUUGCACGGGGAUGUGGGGAUGGAACGAUUACCCCAUACCCCAUUGCUGGAGGGCGCUGCUUUGGGCUCAGGGAUUGCUUCCACAGCCGCUUUGCUGUCCGUCUGUCCCCGCUGUCCAUCCCUCCAUCACCCAUCUCUGGUGACGUUCCCCACUCCCACACUGUGCUGAUGUGUCCCCCCCACAGAGCUGAGACCCCCGCG